GUCAGCACCAUCAUGCUUCAAACCUAAUAAAGUCUUUCCUCGGAAAUUAAGAACAAGCAACACGGUCACCUGAUAUACUGCCUGUAUCAGCAGGUUCCUCCACAUGAUAUUUGUUAUGAGAGGUUCCCUUCGACCAACUGGGGGCCGAUGCAUUAGGUGAUCCGUAGGCGGUUCAGUGGCCAACGCCAAUGCUCCAAGAGUAUCCAUGAUAAGGUUAACCCAGAGAAGCUGCACAGCAUUCAAUGGGACAUCACCAGAUGAAACUGCAGCCACAACAUUUAUGAUGAGCGCCGCAACGUUAACUGUAAGCUGAAACUGGAUAAAUUUUUGAAUAUUUGCAUAUACAGAUCUACCCCAUCGAACAACCUUCACAACAGAAGCAA
rnacentral:misc_RNA from 1 species